AGUGAACGCUGGCGGUAGGCCUAACACAUGCAAGUCGAACGGCAGCACAGUAAGAGCUUGCUCUUACGGGUGGCGAGUGGCGGACGGGUGAGGAAUACAUCGGAAUCUACUUUUUCGUGGGGGAUAACGUAGGGAAACUUACGCUAAUACCGCAUACGACCUACGGGUGAAAGCAGGGGAUCUUCGGACCUUGCGCGAUUGAAUGAGCCGAUGUCGGAUUAGCUAGUUGGCGGGGUAAAGGCCCACCAAGGCGACGAUCCGUAGCUGGUCUGAGAGGAUGAUCAGCCACACUGGAACUGAGACACGGUCCAGACUCCUACGGGAGGCAGCAUUGGGGAAUAUUGGACAAUGGGCGCAAGCCUGAUCCAGCCAUACCGCGUGGGUGAAGAAGGCCUUCGGGUUGUAAAGCCCUUUUGUUGGGAAAGAAAAGCAGCAGGUUAAUACCCCGCUGUUCUGACGGUACCCAAAGAAUAAGCACCGGCUAACUUCGU
rnacentral:rRNA from 1 species